rnacentral:rRNA from 1 species
UACGAAGGUCCCAAGCGUUAUCCGGAUUUAUUGGGUUUAAAGGGUGCGUAGGCGGGCUAUUUAAGUCAGUGGUGAAAGCCUCAAGCUUUAACUUGAGAAUUUGCCAUUGAUACUGAUGACCUUGAGUACAUUUGAAGUGGGCGGAAUGUGUCAUGUAGCGGUGAAAUGCUUUAGAUAAUGACACAGAACACCGAUUGCGUAGGCAGCUCACUAAACUGUUACUGACGCUGAGGCACGAAAGCGUGGGGAGCAAACAGG